GUUUCUCUGUUCCUCUGAACUUAAUAAGGAACUCAUUUCAGAGUGAAGCACUGAAGUUUGUUUCGAAUCAUAUGAAUAAAUGAGUUACAGAGUUGAGGAACUUCUUGUAAAAUGCUUGUAGCCACAUAAAUUGGUAGCCAGAAAAUCACAUAGGCUGAUCGGCAGUUUUUUUUUUUCCUCUUUAAAAUGCCCGCAUAAAGAAAAAUCAGUACCUUUUUUUAAUAAUUAUUUUAUUUUAAAAUUUAUUGGUCAUUUCCUUGGUCUAACGCAUCUAAAACAUUUGAUCAACUGUAGGUUUGUUUUCUAUGAUGCAGAAAGCUAACCUGUUUAGACAGUUAAAUAUUUCUCAAGUCAAGGAUGCUUCUCGCAUGCUUAAUGUGAAAGAUUUUUUUUUGUUGUUGUUAUGUGGAUUUGGUAUAUGUGCAUUAUCAGUAUUAACUAAGGUGAAUUAUUAUCGCCAUAGUAAUUACUUAACUUCACUGCAUCGAAUGCAUAGGGGAGGGGGAUUCGAAACUACUAGUCGUCAAUGAGAAGUGGUUAAAGAGAACAAGGACCCAGGGAGAUUUCCAAAAUGCAUUCCUUCUAACAAACAACGGAAGUGUGGGAUCUUUUAUUCCAACAACACCACACCCCCCCAAUUUCAAAAUCAUUUAGAACAUAAGAAAUUUAAGUAUACAAAAUUAUUUUGGCAUUUUUUUCUUAAGUUUUGACCAGAAAACCAUGUCUCACCAGGGCAAGAAGCCCCCAUGAAUAUUUGUGAGUGUCCCAUAACCUCCCCAAAAGUUUCUCAUAACUUUAGAAGCCCACAGGAAGAAUUCAAUCUUCAUCAUGAUUUUGGAAGUCCAAACAAGGAUAGAAUUUUGAGGUCAUGGCUAUACAGCUCUUGAUCUAACCUGCGAGCAAAAGGUGCACAAAGCAGGAGCUGAAAGCUUUAACUUGCAGGCGUGCUUCUUUGUGCUCGUCCUUACACAGCAGCAUUUCUCAUGGUAGGUACUCUUAAAAAAAGGUAAAAAUUUUCCAUGGGGAAGUGGAACUUUGAUACAAAGACGACAUCCUUCCUUGUGCUUCCCCCAAGUCAGUGGAUCUUUUGCAGGAUAGAGGCUGAUCGCAAGGUCACAUUUUUCAUGGUUGCUCCCUUGCAAAUAGAUUCUGGACCUUUAUACUGUCCUUUAAUUGGUAGGUAGCCCUUCCAAUUAACAUAAAGAGUCUUCUUGAUUCCAUCAUGGUUGGUCAUCCGUGCAACCAAAAAAAAGGUCCUCUGACCUCAAUUUAUCAGUGUUUUCAAUUGGAACUUUGGGCUUGAGGUGGAACUCGGAACUUUUGGCUUGAGGUGGAACUACUGUUAGCUACUAUUUCGUUGCUGACUGUUUCUUGGUCUAAGCUAACUAUGGCUGUGCUAAUUGGAGGAGUUUUUUUUUAGUCCUCUUGUUUGAGGCUUGGCUUUCCUCCUCUUUUGUAAUUUCAUAUCAUUUACAAAUUGAUUAGUUUCUCAUCUUCAAACCAACAAGAGAAGGAAAAAAGAAAGAAGAAGAAGAAAGAAAGAAAGAAAGAAAGAAAGAAAGAAAGAGGUGACUAUCUACUACUAACCUUUUGUCCACACGAGGGCUUGACAUCAGCCAAGGAGUUUAAAAAAAAAAAAAAAAAAACUCCUGAAUUUCCUCAGUUAGAUUCCCUUUAUGAACUUGGAUACCAACCUGAGGCUUCACUGUUGAAACCGUAUGGCUGCAUGUUGGGCGUGGGAAAUGGUGUAUCUAUGAGCUAAAUGGAGAUCACCUUAUUCUGUCACACCUGCCAAGUUAAAAGGAGUAGGAGUCUUUAGAACAGGCAAGAAUCUGAGGGUAUAGCAAUCCAGGGAGAAUAUACACUACCCUUAAUUCUUCCUACAAGUGAAAGCCAUACUUGCUGAAUGAUCGAAUGGCAGAAAAGUGAAGUCAUUUCCACAAUACAGAAAACUUUAGAAUAUAUGUAAUUAGAAUAUAAGAUUGGCCUUUGUUUCCAAGCUUCUUCUAUUUCGUUAGCUCAUGGAAAAGGUUGUGCCAUUUGGCGUUUGAUUCCAUUUCCUCUAUCUCAUAGGAAGAUUCCAUGAUUAUCCGUUGCCAUAAAUAGGAGAAUGUCUAUUCAAAAAUCAA